CAGCCGCCGCGGUAAUACCGGCGGCCCGAGUGGCGGUCACUAUUAUUGGGCUUAAAGCGUCCGUAGCCGGGUUGGGAAGUCCUCCGGGAAAUCUGGCCGCUUAAAGGUCAGAAUGCCGGAGGAUACUCCCAGCCUAGGGAGCGGGAGAGGCCGAGGGUAUUCCCGGGGUAGGGGGGAAAUCCUAUAAUCCCGGGAGGACCACCUGUGGCGAAGGCGCUCGGCUGGAACGCGUCCGACGGUGAGGGACGAAGGCCAGGGGAGCAAACCGGAUUAGAUACCCGGGUAGUCCUGGCUGUAAACGAUGCGGACUUUGUGUCGGACAAGCUAUGAGCUUGUCCGGUGCCGGAGGGAAACCGUUAAGUCCGCCGCCUGGGGAGUACGGCCGCAAGGCUGAAACUUAAAGGAAUUGGCGGG
rnacentral:rRNA from 1 species